GCCCGCGUAGCUCAGGGGAUAGAGCGUCUGCCUCCGGAGCAGAAGGCCGCAGGUUCGAAUCCUGCCGCGGGCA
rnacentral:tRNA from 3 species